AUCCAUCUGACGAGCUCCAUAUAGGACGAAACGUGCGUCCUUGAU
rfam:Schistosoma mattheei strain Denwood, Zambia genome assembly, scaffold: SMTD_scaffold0015594